rnacentral:rRNA from 1 species
GGGACACGUGGUAUCCUGUCUGAAUAUGGGGGGACCAUCCUCCAAGGCUAAAUACUCCUGACUGACCGAUAGUGAACCAGUACCGUGAGGGAAAGGCGAAAAGAACCCCGGCGAGGGGAGUGAAAAAGAACCUGAAACCGUGUACGUACAAGCAGUGGGAGCCUCUUUAUGGGGUGACUGCGUACCUUUUGUAUAAUGGGUCAGCGACUUAUAUUCUGUAGCAAGGUUAACCGAAUAGGGGAGCCGAAGGGAAACCGAGUCUUAACUGGGCGUUAAGUUGCAGGGUAUAGACCCGAAACCCGGUGAUCUAGCCAUGGGCAGGUUGAAGGUUGGGUAACACUAACUGGAGGACCGAACCGACUAAUGUUGAAAAAUUAGCGGAUGACUUGUGGCUGGGGGUGAAAGGCCAAUCAAACCGGGAGAUAGCUGGUUCUCCCCGAAAGCUAUUUAGGUAGCGCCUCGUGAAUUCAUCUCCGGGGGUAGAGCACUGUUUCGGCAAGGGGGUCAUCCCGACUUACCAACCCGAUGCAAACUGCGAAUACCGGAGAAUGUUAUCACGGGAGACACACGGCGGGUGCUAACGUCCGUCGUGAAGAGGGAAACAACCCAGACCGCCAGCUAAGGUCCCAAAGUCAUGGUUAAGUGGGAAACGAUGUGGGAAGGCCCAGACAGCCAGGAUGUUGGCUUAGAAGCAGCCAUCAUUUAAAGAAAGCGUAAUAGCUCACUGGUCGAGUCGGCCUGCGCGGAAGAUGUAACGGGGCUAAACCAUGCACCGAAGCUGCGGCAGCGACACUAUGUGUUGUUGGGUAGGGGAGCGUUCUGUAAGCCUGUGAAGGUGUACUGUGAGGUAUGCUGGAGGUAUCAGAAGUGCGAAUGCUGACAUAAGUAACGAUAAAGCGGGUGAAAAGCCCGCUCGCCGGAAGACCAAGGGUUCCUGUCCAACGUUAAUCGGGGCAGGGUGAGUCGACCCCUAAGGCGAGGCCGAAAGGCGUAGUCGAUGGGAAACAGGUUAAUAUUCCUGUACUUGGUGUUACUGCGAAGGGGGGACGGAGAAGGCUAUGUUGGCCGGGCGACGGUUGUCCCGGUUUAAGCGUGUAGGCUGGUUUUCCAGGCAAAUCCGGAAAAUCAAGGCUGAGGCGUGAUGACGAGGCACUACGGUGCUGAAGCAACAAAUGCCCUGCUUCCAGGAAAAGCCUCUAAGCAUCAGGUAACAUCAAAUCGUACCCCAAACCGACACAGGUGGUCAGGUAGAGAAUACCAAGGCGCUUGAGAGAACUCGGGUGAAGGAACUAGGCAAAAUGGUGCCGUAACUUCGGGAGAAGGCACGCUGAUAUGUAGGUGAAGCGACUUGCUCGUGGAGCUGAAAUCAGUCGAAGAUACCAGCUGGCUGCAACUGUUUAUUAAAAACACAGCACUGUGCAAACACGAAAGUGGACGUAUACGGUGUGACGCCUGCCCGGUGCCGGAAGGUUAAUUGAUGGGGUUAGCGGUAACGCGAAGCUCUUGAUCGAAGCCCCGGUAAACGGCGGCCGUAACUAUAACGGUCCUAAGGUAGCGAAAUUCCUUGUCGGGUAAGUUCCGACCUGCACGAAUGGCGUAAUGAUGGCCAGGCUGUCUCCACCCGAGACUCAGUGAAAUUGAACUCGCUGUGAAGAUGCAGUGUACCCGCGGCAAGACGGAAAGACCCCGUGAACCUUUACUAUAGCUUGACACUGAACAUUGAGCCUUGAUGUGUAGGAUAGGUGGGAGGCUUUGAAGUGUGGACGCCAGUCUGCAUGGAGCCGGCCUUGAAAUACCACCCUUUAAUGUUUGAUGUUCUAACGUUGGCCCCUGAUCGGGGUUGCGGACAGUGUCUGGUGGGUAGUUUGACUGGGGCGGUCUCCUCCUAAAGAGUAACGGAGGAGCACGAAGGUUGGCUAAUCCUGGUCGGACAUCAGGAGGUUAGUGCAAUGGCAUAAGCCAGCUUGACUGCGAGCGUGACGGCGCGAGCAGGUGCGAAAGCAGGUCAUAGUGAUCCGGUGGUUCUGAAUGGAAGGGCCAUCGCUCAACGGAUAAAAGGUACUCCGGGGAUAACAGGCUGAUACCGCCCAAGAGUUCAUAUCGACGGCGGUGUUUGGCACCUCGAUGUCGGCUCAUCACAUCCUGGGGCUGAAGUAGGUCCCAAGGGUAUGGCUGUUCGCCAUUUAAAGUGGUACGCGAGCUGGGUUUAGAACGUCGUGAGACAGUUCGGUCCCUAUCUGCCGUGGGCGCUGGAGAACUGAGGGGGGCUGCUCCUAGUACGAGAGGACCGGAGUGGACGCAUCACUGGUGUUCGGGUUGUCAUGCCAAUGGCACUGCCCGGUAGCUAAAUGCGGAAGAGAUAAGUGCUGAAAGCAUCUAAGCACGAAACUUGCCCCGAGAUGAGUUCUCCCUGAGACUUAGAGUCUCCUGAAGGAACGUUGAAGACGACGACGUUGAUAGGCCGGGUGUGUAAGCGCAGCGAUGCGUUGAGCUAACCGGUACUAAUGAACCGUGAGG